ensembl:lncRNA
AUGGAAUUGAUGCAUCUUACACUGAUUCUCAUAGGUGCACUGGAAAAGCUUGACGAACCGGUUCUGUUUGGCCCACUUGUUGGAUUAGAAGGUUCAGUUGUGGAUUUCUUCUGUGAGAUUCCUGGGAAACUGGCAACGUUGUCCGUCCACUAUGAGCUCUAUGCCGAGAAAAACCCGAGUAGGGUGCUUGGGGAGUACUCCUCGCUGUCUGGAGAACUGGCCACUAUUUCUCAGGUUAUCGGCACAAAACAUGACGGUCGACUCAUCUGCAAGGCCAGCGGACACAAUAACACUGAUAUUGAGAGUUCGAUCAGUAAGGGCUUGGACUUCAGAGUCAUCGUUCCAGUGGCGGAAGUGAUGCUCAUUUCACAUCCUUCCAGUGAUUACAUAUGGGAAGGACAAACUUUGACCCUCCAGUGCAAAAUAACCAAAGGAACGUAUGUCUCCUAUGAUUGGUUCUGGAACGACACACCGGUUCAGAUACCGUACGACAAGAAUAACGACACUUUGACCAUUCACAGGGUUUCUGCACAAAAUACAGGCGAUUAUAUGUGUGUGGCAUCAAACCAAUACAACGACACAACGAUCUUCAACUCCAGCAGUAAUGUCGUGACUGUGAAUGUCAAAGCACUGAACACAGUCUCUCCUUUGGUUGUGAUCGUCGUUUUCACCUCUUUUGCCCUGCUGAACCUCGCUGUGAUUGCCUGUUGUAUUUAUGGAGUCGUGCUGCGGAGAAGAUAUUCAAGGAAAUACCCACUUACUGAGCAGCACAGAAAAAUGGGAAUCACCGAUAAAGAUGAGGAGGAUGAAGAUUAUCUAUUUGAGAUGUUGGAGGGUUAUGAGGAAGACGUUGUCCAAUCUGACAGAUUGAGUGACUCUGCUGAGGAUGAAGACCAAUCCGUGGAUGAAUCCGUCCUGUAUGAAGGCGCUGUUUCAGAAUAA